rnacentral:lncRNA from 1 species
CUUUUGAAGGAAAGAAAUAACUAAUCCAUAUGAGAAAAUAUUUAUAUUUUUCCAAGUACUAUGUUAAAUAAAGAUUGUGUUUAAGUAUUUUGUGUAUAUUUUACUUAGGUAACUUGUAUCUCAAAGUGAUAUUUUUUUGGAUUUCUGUCCUAACAGUUUACCUUAGCUAAAAUAUUGAUUUCUGAAUAUAGAUUUAGACUGAACUUUCUUACAAUCUGGUAAACAUAUUUUAAAGGUAGCAAACUUCUGUCAGUUUUUGAAAAAAGCAAAUGUUCUAUUUUCUAAGAGAGUGUUGAUCAUACUUUCAGUAAAGGAAUCGGGCUUUCUGAAAACCC